rnacentral:rRNA from 1 species
AGAGUUUGAUCCUGGCUCAGGACGAACGCUGGCGGCGUGCCUAAUACAUGCAAGUCGAACGCACUCUCGUUAGAUUGAAGAAGCUUGCUUCUGAUUGAUAACAUUUGAGUGAGUGGCGGACGGGUGAGUAACACGUGGGUAACCUGCCCUAAAGUGGGGGAUAACAUUUGGAAACAGAUGCUAAUACCGCAUAAAACCUAGCACCGCAUGGUGCAAGGUUGAAAGAUGGUUUCGGCUAUCACUUUAGGAUGGACCCGCGGUGCAUUAGUUAGUUGGUGAGGUAAAGGCUCACCAAGACCGUGAUGCAUAGCCGACCUGAGAGGGUAAUCGGCCACACUGGGACUGAGACACGGCCCAGACUCCUACGGGAGGCAGCAGUAGGGAAUCUUCCACAGUGGACGAAAGUCUGAUGGAGCAACGCCGCGUGAGUGAAGAAGGUUUUCGGAUCGUAAAACUCUGUUGUUGGAGAAGAACGUAUUUGAUAGUAACUGAUCAGGUAGUGACGGUAUCCAACCAGAAAGCCACGGCUAACUACGUGCCAGCAGCCGCGGUAAUACGUAGGUGGCAAGCGUUGUCCGGAUUUAUUGGGCGUAAAGCGAGCGCAGGCGGUUUCUUAAGUCUGAUGUGAAAGCCUUCGGCUCAACCGAAGAAGUGCAUCGGAAACUGGGAAACUUGAGUGCAGAAGAGGACAGUGGAACUCCAUGUGUAGCGGUGAAAUGCGUAGAUAUAUGGAAGAACACCAGUGGCGAAGGCGGCUGUCUGGUCUGUAACUGACGCUGAGGCUCGAAAGCAUGGGUAGCAAACAAGGUUAGAUACCCUGGUAGUCCAUGCCGUAAAC